rnacentral:rRNA from 1 species
GUCGAGAAUAAUUCACAAUGGGGGAAACCCUGAUGGUGCAACGCCGCGUGGAGGAUGAAGGUCUUCGGAUUGUAAACUCCUGUCAUCUGGGAGUAAGACCUGACGGUGAAUAGCCGGCAGGGUUGAUAGUACCAGAAGAGGAAGGGACGGCUAACUUCGUGCCAGCAGCCGCGGUAAUACGAAGGUCCCAAGCGUUGUUCGGAAUCACUGGGCGUAAAGGGAGCGUAGACGGCGUGGUAAGUCAGAUGUGAAAUCCCGGGGCUCAACCCCGGAACUGCAUCCGAUACUGCCAUGCUUGAGGGUUGGAGAGGUAGCUGGAAUUCUCGGUGUAGCAGUGAAAUGCGUGGAUAUCGAGAGGAACACUCGUGGCGAAGGCGAGCUACUGGACAACAUCUGACGCUGAGGCUCGAAGGCCAGGGGAGCAAAAGGGAUUAGAAACCCGUGUAGUCC